rnacentral:rRNA from 1 species
GACGAACGCUGGCGGCGUGCUUAACACAUGCAAGUCGAACGGAAAGGCCUGCUUUCCCUUGUGGAUUGCGGGUACUCGAGUGGCGAACGGGUGAGUAACACGUGAGUGAUCUGCCCCCAACUUGGGUAUAAGCCUGGGAAACUGGGUCUAAUUCCCGAUAGGACUGCAGGGUGGUGCCUGUGGUGGAAAACGAUUUUCUAGUGGUUGGGGAUGAGCUCGCGGCCUAUCAGCUUGUUGGUGGGGUAAUGGCCUACCAAGGCGGCGACGGGUAGCCGGCCUGAGAGGGUGGACGGCCACAUUGGGACUGAGAUACGGCCCAGACUCCUACGGGAGGCAGCAGUGGGGAAUAUUGCACGAUGGGCGGAAGCCUGAUGCAGCGACGCCGCGUGGGGGAUGACGGCCUUCGGGUUGUAAGCUCCUUUCGACCGCGAGGAAGCCACCUGGUUGGAAGGGUGGUGACGGUAGUGGUAGAAGAAGCACCGGCUAACUACGUG